rnacentral:rRNA from 1 species
GUCUACAGCCAUGUCACCCUGAAAGUGCUCAAUCCUGUCUGAUCUCGGAAGCUAAGCAGGGUUGGGCCUGGUUAGUACUUGGAUGGGAGACCACCUAGGAAGACUGGGUGCUGUAGACA